rnacentral:rRNA from 1 species
GACGAACGCUGGCGGCGUGCUUAACACAUGCAAGUCGAACGGUAAGGCCUUGCUUUGGUCGCGUGUUCGAAACGCGAACGGGAGAGUAGCAUGUUAGUACCUUGCCUUUGAGUUAGGGAUAACUUCAUGAGACUAGGGCUGGUAACGGCUAGGCGCUCCUGCUGCAUGGUGGGGGAUGGUUAGUUUCGGCGGUUGGGGAUGGGCUCGCGGCUUAUCAGCUUGUUGGUGGGGUAUUGGCUUACCAAGGCUUUGACGGGUAGCCGGCCUGAGAGGGUGACCGGCCACACUGGGACUGAGACACGGCCCAGACUCCUACGGGAGGCAGCAGUGGGGAAUAUUGCACAAUGGGCGGAAGCCUGAUGCAGCAACGCCGCGUGCGGGAUGACGGCCUUCGGGUUGUAAACCUCUUUCGGCAGGGACGAAGCGUGAGUGACGGUAACUGCAGAAGAAGCACCGGCUAACUACGUG